rnacentral:lncRNA from 1 species
UGAACAUAGAGGCAAGGUGUAAAUUCACGCCACACCUUUAUCAUACUUACAGGGUGAAAUCAAGUGACCCAAAAGCAGUGGGAGUGUGUGUGUUAGUGAAGUGAUCAGUAAAGCCUGGGGCAGGUUACUGGAACUGCACAAAAUGUCUCCAGGUAAAAGGUAUUAAUAUCUUACAAAAUAAAGAUGAAUAAAGAAUUGGGACUACUGCAAACUGGGAUGAAUUUGCUGCAAGAUGGAAAUGUCAUAAGGAAAAAGAAAACUGGCAAGCUUGUUUGUGCAAAGAAGAGGUUUGCUUAAAAACAAUGACAAAGGAGGCCCCCUACGGCUGGCCAAACCCUGUUAAAGUCAUUCUGAAGAUUAUUACCAUGGUCGUAGGCAAGUGUCUGCUCCAUACAUGUCGGUCUCAAUAAUGUCUGUCUCUCUCUCUC